rnacentral:rRNA from 1 species
GAAUGCUGACAUAAGUAACGAUAAAGCGGGUGAAAAGCCCGCUCGCCGGAAGACCAAGGGUUCCUGUCCAACGUUAAUCGGGGCAGGGUGAGUCGACCCCUAAGGCGAGGCCGAAAGGCGUAGUCGAUGGGAAACAGGUUAAUAUUCCUGUACUUGGUGUUACUGCGAAGGGGGGACGGAGAAGGCUAUGUUGGCCGGGCGACGGUUGUCCCGGUUUAAGCGUGUAGGCUGGUUUUCCAGGCAAAUCCGGAAAACCAAGGCUGAGGCGUGAUGACGAGGCACUACGGUGCUGAAGCGACAAAUGCCCUGCUUCCAGGAAAAGCCUCUAAGCAUCAGGUAACAUCAAAUCGUACCCCAAACCGACACAGGUGGUCAGGUAGAGAAUACCAAGGCGCUUGAGAGAACUCGGGUGAAGGAACUAGGCAAAAUGGUGCCGUAACUUCGGGAGAAGGCACGCUGAUAUGUAGGUGAAGCGACUUGCUCGUGGAGCUGAAAUCAGUCGAAGAUACCAGCUGGCUGCAACUGUUUAUUAAAAACACAGCACUGUGCAAACACGAAA